rnacentral:rRNA from 1 species
GCAGCAGGCGCGAAACCUUUACACUGCACGAAAGUGUGAUAAGGGAAUCCUAAGUGCUCAUGCACAGCAUGGGCUUUUGCCAAGUGUAAAUAGCUUGGAGAAUAAGUGGUGGGUAAGACUGGUGCCAGCAGCCGCGGUAACCCCAGCGCCACAAGUGGCAACCACAUUUACUUGGUCUAAAGCGUCCGUAGCUGGUUAUGUAAAUCUUUUGUGAAAUUGUCAAGCUUAACUUGACAGCGCGCAAAAGACACUGCAAAACUUGAGACCGGGAGAGGUUAGGAGUAUUUCUUGGGGACCGGUAAAAUGGGAUAAUCCAAGAAAGACUACCAGUGGCGAAGGCGCCUAACCAGAACGGUUCUGACAGUGAGGGACGAAGGCUAGGGGAGCGAACCGGAUUAGAUACCCGAGUAGUCCUAGCAGUAAACGCUGUGAAUUAGGUGUUGCACAACUUAUCAAGGUUGUGCAGUGUCGAAGAGAAGUCGUUAAAUUCACCACCUGGGAAGUAUGGUCGCAAGACUGAAACUUAAAGGAAUUGGCGGGGGAGCAC